AUUGAACGCUGGCGGCAGGCUUAACACAUGCAAGUCGAGCGAGCGGCGGACGGGUGAGUAAUGUCUGGGAAACUGCCUGAUGGAGGGGGAUAACUACUGGAAACGGUAGCUAAUACCGCAUCCCAUCAGAUGUGCCCAGAUGGGAUUAGCUAGUAGGGGGGGUAAUGGCUCACCUAGGCGAAGAUCCCUAGCUUGUCUGAGAGGAUGACCAGCCACACUGGAACGGAGACACGGUCCAGACUCCGACGGGAGGCAGCAGUGGGGAAUAUUGCACAAUGGGCGCAAGCCUGAGGCAGCCAUGCCGAGUGUGUGAAGAAGGCCUUCGGGUUGUAAAGCACUUUCAGCGAGGAGGCGUUACUCGCAGAAGAAGCACCGGCUAACUCCGUGCCAGCAGCCGCGGUAAUAC
rnacentral:rRNA from 1 species